UACGGGGGGUGCGAGCGUUGUCCGGAAUCACUGGGCGUAAAGGGCGCGUAGGUGGUCUGAUAAGGGUGUGGUGAAAGUCCGGGGCUCAACCCCGGAUCUGCCGUGCCGACUGUCAGACUCGAGGACUGUAGAGGCAGGUGGAAUUCCCGGUGUAGUGGUGAAAUGCAUAGAUAUCGGGAGGAACACCAGUGGCGAAGGCGACUUCCUGGCCUGUUCUUGACGCUGAGGCGCGAAAGCUAGGGGAGCAAACGGGG
rnacentral:rRNA from 1 species